rnacentral:lncRNA from 1 species
CAGAAGCUUCCAUCUUUGCACCUUAAGUCCAAAAGCAACUCUUAAUGUGAGGCCUUGUGAAAUCUCAUAUAGCUUAGCAUCAUCAUGUCCCUGAGCCUAUCCAUUCUUGAAAUGUCUCUGGGAUAUAGUCUAACCACUACUGAAAGUCUUUUUUCUGGACCAUUAUGUCUCAUAAAUAUUAUGUCUCACAAAUUUCUGAUGGCAGUUAGCUCAUAUCAGAGGUUCUAAAGACUGCUGAACAGUACCACUUGGCAUCAGGGAUACCACGUGUGUCCACAUCUGUAGUGGAAGUGGAGUCAGCCAUACCCAACCAUAUCAAAUGGGUUCUCCAAAGGAAAGCAGAUUUUGUUACCAGAAAGAGGAAAAAUUGCUGAGCGACCCCCAACAGAGAUACCCUUCCACCAUGAUCCACAGCUUCUGGGGCUCUCGCAUUGAACCGUGAUUGGAGCUUUGCAGACUUAAAAGAUAAAAAAAAUGAUGAUCUCCAUGCAUAAAUAAAAAUAACUGAAGUAGAACCCCAAAUUUGUUCAGAAGGCAAAUUAGCCCCAUAUGGCUCUCUACAGUUAUAUAUAUGUUCCGCUGGUUUUGGCUGAGACUUUUACUGAAUUGUAAAUAAAUGACCCCACUGGUACAUGGGAGAAGUAUUUCACAUUACACGGUCUUUCAAUCAUAUGGCAUGACGGCAGUGUGGCAAGAUGCUGUGCAUUAUCUCCAGAAUGCUGGGAGUAAAAAGGUCAACAACCGUCUCCGAGCUGACUCGGGGCCGAUCCAGCGCAUUACUGUGUAUCUGUGGGGCAGGCAGGCAAAGCAGAGGAUGCCAAGAAUGCCCACGGAUUAGUUUAAAAAAACCUAAAAACAGCAAAACCUGACUGUGGAAACAGUUCCAUCCUCAUAUACCAUAAAACGAUUUAUAAAGCAAAACAUGGCUCCACAGAUACCACCUUCCUCCUGGUUUAAUCAUUUCCCCCGCCCCGGUUCCCAUUCCCAGUGUGGUUGGCAGUGAUGUUAGAGACGGGAGAGGAUAAAAAGCCACAGAAAAUAGGCUGGAGGAGAAGAAUUCAAACCAUAAGUCAUCACCUUGCCAGGAAUGGACGAGACUCUGGAGUCUCUGAAUUGUCUUGGAUGCUGGUGAAGAUACUACACCAUGUGGGAAGAGGAGGCAAUCAAAUUCAGCUGAGUCGUCAGGUUGUGUGGACUUCCUUUUCUGCCCUCCCAUCUCUGAGAACCAGCCUCAAAAUAUGAGUAACCUGUGCCACAGCCUAUGGCGGGC